rnacentral:miRNA from 1 species
GCAGACACAUUCCAGCCAAUCAGCAGCAGACCCUCCUUCCCAGACCCUCCCACCUCCUGGACAGCAUCCAUUGUGAAGCUGCAUUCUUAGUGAGCUGUCCAGGAGGUGGGAGGGUCUGGGAGAGAGGGUCUGCUGCUGAUUGGCUGGAAUAUGUCUG